ACACACACAGUCAGACACACACAGUCAGACACAAACACAAACACACACAGACACACACAGUCACAUACACACACACAGUCAGACACAAACACACACACAGUCAGACACAAACACACACACACACAGUCAGACACAUACACAAACACAGACACAAACAAACACACACAUUAACUUUUUUUUAAAUUUAAAUCCCCCCCCAACCUCCUUACC